rnacentral:tRNA from 1 species
GGGGCGUUAGCUCAGUUGGUCAGAGCAGAGGACUCAUAAUCCUUUGGUCGAGUGUUCAAAUCACUCACGCCCUACCA